UACGUAGGUGGCGAGCGUUGUCCGGAGUUACUGGGCUUAAAGCGCACGCAGGCGGCCUCUCGCGUUCGAGGUGACAGUCUCCGGCUUAACUGGAGAAGGUCCUUGAAGACGGGGGGGCUUGAGGACUUGAGAGGGACACGGAAUUCCGGGUGUAGUGGUGAAAUGCGUAGAUAUCCGGAGGAACACCAAAGGCGAAGGCAGUGUCCUGGCAAGUAACUGACGCUCAGGUGCGAAAGCCAGGGGAGCGAACGGG
rnacentral:rRNA from 1 species